GAUGAACGCUGGCGGCGUGCCUAAUACAUGCAAGUCGAGCGAACGGACGAGAAGCUUGCUUUUCUGAUGUUAGCGGCGGACGGGUGAGUAACACGUGGAUAACCUACCUAUAAGACUGGGAUAACUUCGGGAAACCGGAGCUAAUACCGGAUAAUAUUUUGAACCGCAUGGUUCAAAAGUGAAAGACGGUCUUGCUGUCACUUAUAGAUGGAUCCGCGCUGCAUUAGCUAGUUGGUAAGGUAACGGCUUACCAAGGCAACGAUGCAUAGCCGACCUGAGAGGGUGAUCGGCCACACUAGAACUGAGACACGGUCCAGACUCCUACGGGAGGCAGCAGUAGGGAAUCUUACGCAAUGGGCGGAAGCCUGACGGAGCAACGCCGCGUGAGUGAUGAAGGUCUUCGGAUCGUAAAACUCUGUUAUUAGGGAAGAACAUAUGUGUAAGUAACUGUGCACAUCUUGACGGUACCUAAUCAGAAAGCCACGGCUAACUACGUG
rnacentral:rRNA from 1 species